GUUUGCUGAAUUCCAGCGAGUUGCCAGUAAGAACCUCAGGAAAUACUUCUAUGAAGCACUGGACCGCCACACCACUCGUCUAAUUGAGAUGUUCAGAUGAAAAUAAAAGAGUUGUAGGCCAGUCAAUUGAUCGCCUCCUCCAGCAAAUUAAUACACAAACCCAGAACAUCACCGCAACACACACUGCUGUCCUCCAAUGUCUGCCCCUGUAUCUUGGAGAUGUUUCCAGUGAGUUCUUCCUCAGAUGCUCAGAUUCAGACACAGCAGCUGACUUCACCCAGGUACCUGUUGGGGUACU